AAUGAUUUGAAGAUGGUAUUUAAAUUUGAGAUUACUGUUUCUAAAUAAUUUCUAAUACAUUUCUCCUUUUGGUUCUCAGUUUCCUCAUUUUAAAAAUAACGUGGAUUUCUAAGUUGUAAAACAUUGAUGAUUCAAAGUUUUAGGUUUGAGGCAAAAAUUCAUUAGGUUCAGAGCAGUGGUUCUAAAUCAGGCAUUGUCAGGAGACAUUUGGAAAGGUCUAGAAACAUAUUUGACUUUCACAAUUAUAACAUGGGUGCCACUGGCAUCUAGUAGAUAGAGGCCAGAGAUGCUGCUAAAUAUCUUGCAACCAUUGGAAAACCCCUACAACAAAGAAUUAUCCAACUCCAAGUGCCAGUGUUGCUUAAGUAGAGAAACCCAGUUUAGUGUAUCUUGACAAUAAAUAUCUUCAAACUUUGCUCUGCUGUACUUUUAAUAUAUCCUGACUAGAGGGAUAAUUUUUAUGUCCUUAAGUACUCUCACAAUAACUCCAUAGUCCUGUGUCUCCACAUUCACUUGGGUCAUUUAACUGCUAUUUACUAAAUCAGGAAUCUAAGAUUUUAAAAUUCAUUUCCUAGUAAAACAGAUAUGGUACUAUUAUUGAAUGUCUCUAGUCAAAGUCCAUGCAGAUAAUUACCUUAACUAUACAGAAAUCUGUGAAGAUCUCUAGGGUUCCAUGGACUUGCAUUUUAUAACCCUUUCAGUAAAUAUGUUUAAGGACAUUUGAACUAUUUUUGCAAAUGCUUCACCAAAGCUAAAUAAGGAAGCAAUUUUUUGUCUUUCUUUAUUAUUCUCUUUCUUGUUUAGAUCUGCACUUUCUUCUUUUCCUACUUAUCUUAAAACAUUGACUUAUGUGAUAUUUCCUCCCAUCAACUCUUCUAGGAGGGGACAGAACUUCCUGUACUACAACUGUGAUUUUGUCAAAUAUGCAGAUCUGAUCCAGAAAAUAAGGACUUGGAGGACCUUGGAGUCAUCUUUGAACAUCAGUUUCCAGUCAGAACUGAAGACGACAAUGGAAGUAGAAACAAGGAAGCCAAUUCUGUUGUGUACUGAGUCCAGGGCAAAAUUCCUUUUAUUAUUACUAAAUUAUUGAUACCAGAUGUUUUGUUUUUAUAUUUCCUUAAUUACAAUUUUACUAUACCUGCAAUUGUGUAGUUUUUGUAUAUUGAUAACUUUAUUUCUCAUGUGUGUCUUUUUGACAGUUGAACCUAAUAGUGAUUUGCAAUCUGCACAUAUUUGACUUACAGUUUACACUUCUUAAAUGUCUCCUUAAAAUGCCAGUGACAAAGAUAUAGCCAUAUUUUGGAAACUGCCUACAUAGAGACAGUUUGGACUUUGCCAUCCAGCAACAUUUCAUGUAUUCCCAGUACAGUUUAUUGACACAUAUUAGUUGCUCAAUAAAUGGGAUUAAAAACUUGAAAGAAUUAGUGAC
rnacentral:lncRNA from 1 species